UAGGGAAUCUUCCGCAAUGGACGAAAGUCUGACGGAGCAACGCCGCGUGAGUGAAGAAGGAUUUCGGUUCGUAAAACUCUGUUGUUAGGGAAGAAAAAAUGUAUAGUAACUAUAUACAAAAGAGACGGUACCUAACCAGAAAGCCACGGCUAACUACGUGCCAGCAGCCGCGGUAAUACGUAGGUGGCAAGCGUUGUCCGGAAUUAUUGGGCGUAAAGCGCGCGCAGGUGGUUUAGAAAGUCUGAUGUGAAAGCCCACGGCGCAACCGUGGAGGGUCAUUGGAAACUAAUAAACUUGAGUGCAGGAGAGAAAAGUGGAAUUCCUAGUGUAGCGGUGAAAUGCGUAGAGAUUAGGAGGAACACCGGUGGCGAAAGCGGCUUUUUGGCCUGCAACUGACACUGAGGCGCGAAAGCGUGGGGAGCAAACAGG
rnacentral:rRNA from 1 species